CGAGUGGAGAGAGAGAGAGAGAGAGAGAGAGAAGUGACGUCGGCGCAUUGAAGAAGACAAGGGACCGCCGGAGGUAAGGGAGACCGAAGGAGAAGAGGAAGGAAGAAGGGCCGCGACCCGUGGCCGUUUUCGGACCUCCGGGGACACCGACCUUCGAGCGGUCAAGAAACCCAAACCGCUCACCCUGACUCGGUGAGACGAGAGGAUUCCUUCUAGUAUCUGGAUCCGUUCCUCCACCGCAAUCCCAUGUGCCCGGCGCCCUGCGGUGACCAUUCCAUUAGGGUUCCCAAAGCAGAUUUAAAGAAGAAA